UUUCUGAAGUCCUUGUGUUUCCUGUUUAAGGCUAUCCAUAACUUCUUUUAAUUUUUCUUCUUCUUGCUCCUUUUCCUUUUCAAGAACUUCUUUCUUAGAUGAUGCUUCACUGAUAGUUGUCACACUGUUGCCAGUUUUGCCUUCUUAUGCUAUGGACAAUGAGGAAAACCUGAGGAAAUGUAAACAUCUAUGAGUCCUGACAUCACGCGGAGACUAUCUACAUCAUCUACCUUCAGGACUGCAAAUAUCACCCUGCUUCAGCGAUGAAGCCCAAUUUGAGAAAGAGGCCUACGACUUUGUAAAUUGCCCAUGAAGUUACGUCCAGGGAACAACUUUUCAGAAGCCAAUCGUCUAGGUUUGGGAACACCAGAAUUUCUUUUCAGUGGAGGUGGGCUGCUAGUACUGACAUGACCUUUGAAAACUCUUGGGGCAGACGACAGCCCAAAAGAGCACCCUGUACUGAAAAUGGUCUUACCCGAUAGGAAGAAAAUAUAGAUGUACAGAUCUCCAGAGAACAAAGUGGCCCUGGAGUCCUUCAAUAUGUGCAGUGAUUCGUCUGUGCUGUCAGUGAAUAGUUUAAGUGCCAUCAAAAGAAAAAGUCUUGAAUUGUAUUCCGGGCCUCCACUGGAAAUACUCAGAGGUGAAACCAGGAGGCCGUCCUCAUAAGUACCACCCUAAAAUCAAAUGAGCAGCAGUAUCAAGAGAGGCCUGCAGAGAUAUUCUGACAAGCACCUGGUCUUCGGCAAUAAUUGACUGGAAUUGCUCUCUGUUUUGCUGGUAGAUGCUAAAUAAAGGAGUUCAUCUUAGUAUAAA